rnacentral:tRNA from 1 species
ACCUGGGUGGCUUAGUCGGUUAAGUGUCUGACUUUGGCUCAGGUCAUGAUCUUGAAGUUUGUGGGUUCGAGCCCCACCUCAGCUC